rnacentral:rRNA from 1 species
CGCUGGCGGCGUGCCUCAUACAUGCAAGUCGAGCGGUCUGGCGCAAGUCAGAUAGCGGCGGACGGGUGAGUAACACGUGGGUAACCUGCCCUAAAGACCGGGAUAACAUCCUGAAAGGGAUGCUAAUACCGGGUAUGGUCUUCCAGUCGCAUGGCAGGAAGAAGAGAGGAGCAAUCCGCUUUAGGAUGGGCCCGCGUCCCAUUAGCUAGUUGGUGAGGUAACAGCUCACCAAGGCGACGAUGGGUAGCCGACCUGAGAGGGUGACCGGCCACACUGGGACUGAGACACGGCCCAGACUCCUACGGGAGGCAGCAGUCGGGAAUAUUGGGCAAUGGGGGGAAAAACCCCUGACCCAGCAACGCCGCGUGAGUGACGAAGGCCUUCGGGUCGUAAAGCUCUGUCCUUGGGGACGAACGAUGACGGUACCCAAGAAGAAAGCCACGGCUAACUACGUGCCAGCCGCCGC